rnacentral:misc_RNA from 1 species
GAUGAAGAACGCAGCGAAAUGCGAUACGUAAUGUGAAUUGCAGAAUUCAGUGAAUCAUCGAGUCUUUGAACGCUCAUUGCGACCCCUGGUAUUCCGGGGGGCAUGCCUGUCCGAGCGUCAUUGCUGCCCUCAAGCACGGCUUGUGUGUUGGGCCUCCGUCCUCCUCCCGGGGGACGGGCCCGAAAGGCAGCGGCGGCACCGCGUCCGGUCCUCGAGCGUAUGGGGCUUCGUCACCCGCUCUUGUAGGCCCGGCCGGCGCUUGCCGACACAUCAAUCUUUUUUCCAGGUUGACCUCGGAUCAGGUAGGGAUACCCGCUGAACUUAAGCAUAUCAAUAAGCGGAGGA